rnacentral:tRNA from 1 species
GCCGGCAUAGCUCAGUUGGUAGAGCAUUCGCUUUGUAAGCGAAAUGUCCGGGGUUCGAUCCCUCGUGCCGGCU